rnacentral:rRNA from 1 species
AGCUCACGUAAGAGUUUGAUCAUGGCUCAGGACGGACGCUGGCGGCGUGCUUAACACAUGCAAGUCGAACGGUGAAGCCCUUCGGGUGGAUCAGUGGCGAACGGGUGAGUAACACGUGGGCAAUCUGCCCUGCAUUCUGGGACAAGCCUUGGAAACGAGGUCUAAUACCGGAUACGACGCAUCCCCGCAUGGGUGGUGCGUGGAAAGCUCCGGCGAUGCAGGAUGAGCCCGCGGCCUAUCAGCUUGUUGGUGGGGUAAUGGCCUACCAAGGCGACGACGGGUAGCCGGCCUGAGAGGGCGACCGGCCACACUGGGACUGAGACACGGCCCAGACUCCUACGGGAGGCAGCAGUGGGGAAUAUUGCACAAUGGGCGAAAGCCUGAUGCAGCGACGCCGCGUGAGGGAUGACGGCCUCGGUUGUAACCUCUUCAGCAGGGAAGAAGCGCAAGUGACGGUACCUGCAGAAGAAGCACCGGCUAACUACGUGCCAGCCGCCGCGGUAAU